rnacentral:tRNA from 1 species
GCCCCAUUAGCUCAACUGGUAGAGCACCUGAUUUGUAAUCAGGGGGUUGGCAGUUCGAGUCUGUCAUGGGGCACCA